AUACGGAGGAUCCGAGCGUUAUCCGGAUUUAUUGGGUUUAAAGGGUGCGUAGGCGGUCGGGUAAGCGUAGGGUGAAAGUCCUCUGCUCAACAGAGGAAGUGCCUUCCGAACUGUCCGACUGGAAUGCUCCUGCCGUGGGAGGAAUGUGUGGUGUAGCGGUGAAAUGCAUAGAGAUCACACAGAACACCGAUUGCGAAGGCAUCUCACGAAGGGGCUAUUGACGCUGAGGCACGAAAGCGUGGGGAUCAAACAGGAUUAGAUACCCUGGUAGUCCACGCAGUAAACGAUGAUGACUAACCGUCGGCGAUAGACAGCCGGUGGCCAAGCGAAAGCGAUAAGUCAUCCACCUGGGGAGUACGUCGGCAACGAUGAAACUCAAAUGAAUUGACGGG
rnacentral:rRNA from 1 species